GCCCUUUUAACUCAGUGUAGAGUAACGCCAUGAUAAGGAGUAAGUCAUCGGUUCAAAUCCGAUAAGGGGUA
rnacentral:tRNA from 1 species